UUUCCUGUUUGAGGGAACGGGGAUAUAUGUACCCACUUGCUUUCAGUGUGUGUUAGUGACCAAGCUGCCAAGGGAACAGCAUGGGUUUUCCAUUCUGCCUCGGUUCUGAAAUGGCAGUUUCAAAUCAUCACCUUUACAUUAGGUUAAUUAACUCAACUUCACUGAUUUCAGUCCACUACUCCACAUUUUUCCAAGCAAGAUAAAAUGUGAAAGUGUCUUACUUGUGCUUGUUUUGUUAAAUUUUCACUGGCAUCUCUGUGAUUCUAGGGCCCUUGUAUCAUCAGCUUGCUCUGAUUCUUAAUCUAUUAAGAGCCUAAAUCAAAUUAGAGAAGGAUACUGAUCACCCAAAUGCCUGUGACAGCAUUUUUCCAUGGCUAUAGCUACAGGAGCUUACAGUGUAACAUAAGGAGUGACAGACAGUCCAGCAGAGGCAAGCUCCUAAGAUGUACAAGAAGGUGGGCAUAGUGGUAUUUGGCCACAUUUUCACAAAAUCCAAGUAAAACUGUGCUUAUAAAUAUCCCAAACAACCGUAUCAUCCUCAAGGAAAUUAAUCAUUGUUUUUAAGUGUUGGGAAAUGAAAUUCCAAGUCAUCUACAAUUGUACGCCACUGUUUUCAGUGUGGUUCUGGAGCACUGACCAUGCACUGAGACAAAAGGGACAAUGCAAAGGCCGUCUCUGUUGUGCUGGUGGGGUUCCCUGUAACACAGCUACAUCCUGGCCUUCCUGUGCCAGCAGGCAUUAUUUUGACCAAGAUGAAUGCUCUGCCAUCCUUAAGCUAUCACCUUGUGAGACGGAAUAGCCAGCUCAUUGUGUUUGUAAAAGUCAGCUUCUUUACAGCUAAAGGUUGUUUGCUUACCUCUCUGUCAGGAUGAUCACUUCCACCUGGUCUCUGCUCUGUUUGAUUUGUUUUACUUGUAGCCCUACUAUGAAUUAAAACUUCCCUGGCUUUAGCUCUGAAUCACUUGAAUACACAGACCUUUCUGGGCGAAGUUCACAGGGAGGGCCAAUGCUAUAAUUGAAAAGAAAUGAAAUGGGCACAGGUUGCUGUCUCUGUCUCUGCAUGGGCACAGGCAUUGUGCUGGUGAGGGCGGCAGAGGUGCUGUGUGGUAGGAACCAGGGGAAGCUAGCUUCACAAAGAAAGCAACCAGACAUGGAACCAUCUCCCACCCUUCACUGCCAGUGGCUGCUGCAUGUGAUGUCCUUGGAUGCCCCAAAGAUUAGGCAGUCUGAUCCACCUGGCCCAUGUAACAGGGAUCAAAGACGUUUCUCCAUCUACAAACUUAAGCUCCUGCUCUCUGAAAAUGAAGAAGACAAAUUGAAAGUUAUGCUCUGCACAAAUUAAUAGGGACCUCUGGCUCUUGAGGGGGCAAAAUUGUGGACCAGUCCUCUCAUGUGGCAAUGCAUUAAGAGCAACAAAAAAGUUCAGCUUCAGUCAUCCGCCUGAACCAUAGGACUGAUUUUGACCACUCCAGUUUGCUGCAUCACUUGUACCAUGACACUUUUCAACAUCCACGAGAACUCAGUACUUCUGCUAUGAAGAAUAUGGACAUAAAGACCAGCCGUCAUAUUUGUGUCCCUGAAUAAUUCCACUUGAGGAAAACGCUAUGUACUACUGAAUACUGUCCUGGAACAUAAUUCAGAAGCAUCAGCAGCAGAAAAAAAAACAUCCUAAAGUGGGGGAAAGACAUACUUCUCAAACAUUAUUCAUUUAAAUCAUGGAGCUAUAUAGAAACUGCUACAGAUAUGAUGUAGCUGACAUGUGACAGAGUACCAAGUGGACAUUCUUCAAGAAGUCAGCUCCAUCUACCCUAAAAUCAUCACUAUUCUCUUACUAGGCCUUAUUUUUAGGAAAUUGCUUAACAUGUGCAUGAGUUUUCCCAGUCCUAAAUUCUUUUAAGCUGCAUAUUUCUUCUGGAGACAGUGCAUUCCAUGAGCUGCUCUGCAGGCAUUAAAAACAACAUUCCUCACUUUCAGGGGACUGGUAUGGUGGCAUGCAGGAAUCUAACAUUUCAUGCAAUUUAUGAUUUUCAGCUUUAUUGAAGAAAUAAUUCUGUUUGUAUGUAGGUAUACAAACUUUCAAUCUUGAAUGUAUAGUAUUGCAAGUCAUAGUCAUUUUAUCUAUCAGCUAUUGUAUUAAAUGAAGAAAUGUUAUAUAUUGUUAAUAUCCUGAUCUCCAAAAGGUUGUGAAAAGUACGUUUUUUCUGAGUUAAAAUGUACUUGAAAAUUGUUGAACGUUUAUUAUUAAAAUGUAUUUUUUA